GGCGCAUGCGCCAUGCCGCCUCGCCGCGUGCGCAGUGCCGCGGUGCUGUAGGUGUCGGCGGACGAGCCGAAUAGAGCUUACCCCCAACGCAUCAGCCAGUGGGAUAGACAUGCUGAGAGCCAAGGAUGCUGCCCUGCGCCUGCAGCCUCAGCACUGCCAAUGCCUGGCACGACUUCCAGGCUGGCAGCUUGCCUGGCGGUCGCUGCACAGGCAGCCACUGCACCCUGAGUGGGCUGCCCUUGCUGAAAAGCAGCUGAAAGGCAAGAAUCCAAAGGAUUUAAUUUGGCACACCCCAGAGGGGAUCGACAUCAAGCCUUUAUACUCCAAAAGGGACACAAAAGACCUCCCUGAGGAGCUGCCAGGUGUGAAACCUUUCACUCGAGGACCAUACCCAACCAUGUAUACAUACAGACCAUGGACUAUCCGCCAAUAUGCUGGCUUCAGUACAGUGGAGGAGAGCAAUAAGUUCUACAAGGACAACAUUAAAGCUGGCCAGCAGGGAUUAUCUGUUGCUUUUGAUUUAGCCACCCACCGUGGUUAUGAUUCAGACAAUCCACGAGUUCGAGGAGAUGUUGGAAUGGCUGGAGUUCCAAUUGAUACAGUGGAAGACACCAAAAUCCUUUUUGAUGGAAUCCCUUUGGAGAAAAUGUCUGUUUCCAUGACAAUGAAUGGGGCAGUCAUCCCCAUAUUGGCAACAUUCAUUGUAACUGGAGAAGAACAGGGAGUGCCUCAGGCCAAGCUGACAGGGACAAUCCAAAAUGACAUCUUGAAGGAGUUCAUGGUCCGAAAUACGUACAUUUUCCCCCCAGAGCCAUCUAUGCGGAUUAUUGCUGACAUCUUCCAGUACACCUCAAAGCAUAUGCCUAAGUUUAAUUCCAUUUCAAUCAGUGGAUACCACAUGCAAGAGGCAGGAGCUGACACCAUUCUGGAGUUAGCUUACACUAUAGCAGAUGGCUUGGAGUACUGCAGAACUGGACUUAAAGCUGGCCUUACCAUUGAUGAAUUUGCACCAAGGCUCUCCUUCUUCUGGGGAAUUGGCAUGAACUUCUAUAUGGAAAUAGCUAAGAUGAGAGCUGGGAGGCGACUAUGGGCUUACUUGAUAGAGAAAAUGUUUAAGCCCAAGGAUCCCAAAUCUCUUCUGCUGAGAGCUCAUUGUCAAACUUCAGGCUGGUCACUCACUGAGCAGGAUCCCUUUAACAAUGUCAUUCGUACUACAAUUGAAGCGAUGGCUGCAGUCUUUGGAGGUACACAGUCUUUGCAUACCAAUUCCUAUGAUGAAGCCUUGGGUUUGCCUACAGUGAAGAGUGCUCGCAUUGCUCGGAACACACAGAUCAUCAUUCAAGAGGAGUCGGGUAUUCCAAAAGUGGCAGACCCCUGGGGGGGUUCUUACCUCAUGGAGUGCCUCACCGAUGAUGUCUAUCAAGCUGCUUUAAAGCUUGUUGAGGAGAUUGAAGAAAUGGGUGGAAUGGCCAAAGCUGUUGCUGAGGGAAUUCCCAAACUUCGUAUUGAAGAAUGUGCAGCUCGAAGACAAGCCAGGAUUGACUCCGGGUCUGAAGUAAUUGUUGGAGUAAACAAGCAUCAGCUAGAAAAAGAGGAGACAGUCGAAGUUCUGGCUAUUGAUAAUACUUCAGUCCGUAGCAAGCAGAUCGAGAAGAUUAAUAAGGUGAAGGCCAGUAGAGAUCAAGCAGCAGCCCAGCAAUGUCUCGAUGCUCUAACACAAUGUGCUGCUACUGGAGAAGGCAACUUACUCGCACUUGCAGUGGAAGCAGCACGUUCAAGGUGCACCGUUGGAGAAAUAACAGAUGCAAUGAAGAAGGUGUUUGGGGAGCACAAAGCCAGUGACCGAAUGGUGAGUGGAGCUUAUCGCCAGGAGUUUGGAGAGAGUGAUGAAAUUCUUCAUGCCAUCAAUAGAGUUAACAACUUCAUGGAUCGUGAGGGGCGAAGGCCUCGUAUACUUGUUGCAAAGAUGGGUCAAGAUGGCCAUGAUAGAGGAGCUAAAGUUAUUGCAACAGGAUUUGCAGACAUUGGCUUUGAUGUGGACAUAGGUCCCCUCUUCCAGACACCUCGAGAAGUGGCCCAGCAGGCAGUUGAUGCAGAUGUGCACUGUGUUGGUGUGAGCACACUAGCAGCAGGUCAUAAAACUCUGGUGCCUGAACUCAUCAAAGAACUCAACGCCCUGGGCCGGCCAGACAUUCUCGUCAUGUGUGGAGGUGUCAUCCCACCUCAGGAUUACGACUUCCUGUACGAUGCUGGUGUCGCCCACGUGUUUGGUCCAGGGACUCGUAUUCCAAAAGCCGCUGUCCAAGUAUUAGAUGACAUUGAGAAGUGCCUGGAGAAGAGGCAGCAGUCCAUGUGAUACUGACGUCUCCCACAGUACCACCUGCCUUACGCUCAUCACUUACAGAAUGGUCAGUGUAGACAUAGAAGUCUUCAGGCAAAAUCACUGAAGUUCAGCAGAGAUGUGAUUAAAUUCAGCCCCAUUAUACUUUAUUAAAAGAUUUCUCUGCUCUGUGGCAGCAUAUGUUUUGGAAAUAUGCAAAGGAAUACAGAUAGGACAAACGGCUGGAGAUGUGGAGAUCCUAAUUUACAUGUAGGAAUUAACAUACUGCGGCGUGUUGUCUUUCCUGAAAGGACCUUUGAUAAAGUAAGAACUUGAGCAUGGCCUCAAAUCUCAGGGCAGUGCCCUAACAAUGAACCAAAUGUUCCACUUGAUUUUCAGCUGUAAAAUAAUUACCUGGGCAUGGUAGAUGGAUCCUACAGUGGUCAAAUUUCUCUGAGGAAGUGACAAUCUGUCUUUGAUUCUCAGUGUUUCCCAGCCUUCAGAACUGGUGGUUUUUACACUUGUAUUAAACUGUUGCUUCAAUCAGUUACAAUGAUGAGCAGCAAGAGUUGGAAGGGCCCUCUAGAGAUCAUCCAGCCCAACCCCCUGCUAAAGCAGGACAUAGCAGAUACACACCAGCUUGUUUUUAAACAGAACUGUUUCAUCAGAAGAAUUCUGUUUUGGCCUGGGAGGUGCUGAGUUCUGUCUGUUUCUCAGUCUGUCCUCUCUUCUUUAGUUCCAGCCUCACAAAUGGCAUUUUUCACAUCCUUUGUAUAGACAACAGAAUCAUAGAACGGUUGGGGUUGGAAGGGACCUCUAGAGCUUAUCCAGCCCAAGCCCCUGCUAAAGCAGGUUCCCCUUGGAUCAAGGGGCACAAGAACGUGUCCAGGCGGGUUUGGAAACCUCCUGAGAAAGAGACCGUCCCUAGGCACCCCUCCAUGAUGCACAAACACCUAGACCUUGAUUUUUAAAAACAAAGUACAUAAACAGGUAAUGAAUCAAAGCAUUGUACUUAAACGUUAACAAUAUACAGAUCUUUUGGUUUUACAGAGAUUUUGUCUCUAUUGUAGUGUGGCAUAUUUUCAUAUUGCAUGCACUUCAAAGGCAUUUACGAGUGGAUGUUCCGCUCAUACAUUUUUCACAGAGGAAGCUCACAUUACAUUACAUUAUUAAUGUGCAUCUUAUUGAUCCCAAACCUGCAAUUAGGAGAGGGGAAUAUAUAUAUAUCUAUCUAUCGCUGUUUAUUUUCAUCAUCAAGCAACUGAGCAAGUGAAAGCAAAAAUUCUGACGUGGUUCUUAAAAUACAGUUUAAUUUUCCUAACAGGUUAUUUUUUAAAGCUGAUAAAGUGCUGACUUGACAUAUACCCUAACAAUUCCCUUUGCAGUACUUCAAAAUCUGUACCUGCUGACAUGCUGCUCUGACCCCUCUUCUGUUCUACACUGUGUCCCUUUUGCACUUCUCUCUGCAACCUCCUCUCCUCUCUACAAAAACGCUUGAAUAACCCUCUCCUUCCUCUUCUCUCCCCAUCUAUUUUCCUUCAGCUUUCAGAUGCCUUUCUCUCAGGUACUGAUGUUUUCUCCUGCUCAACACAUUCCUCUUCCCUUUUCCCAUUUUCCUGUGCCAUGGCCUGGUGGAAGUGACUCUUUCCCAGAGGAUGCUUCACCUUUUCCUAUUUGGGAGAGAAAUGCAGUCUCAUUCCCUGUGGAGCAUCUGUGGGUGACAGACAACCCAGGACAAGAAAAUAUCACCCCAGAGGCCAACUUAAUUUAGAAUUUUUUCACUGUUUACAAAUAAACUUAGCUUAAUCUAGUGGAAUACUUCUGAGAGUUGGUUACAGUACCAGUGGCAGGAGUCCAGGGAAAGGCAAGCUUCCUAAAGUUUCCUAAUCUCCAGUUUAGUAGUUUGGGCCUUAGCAUAUGUUAUAGCUCUUGUCUCAUUUUGUUUGUUCUUUUGCAAACCAUACUCCACAGGAACAGGAAUUCUCACAGCCACAAAAGUGUUUCAGCCUAUCUUUUAGUCCCUUUUCUUGGCUUUAUCUGUAGUUUAUAAAAUGAAACUAAUUAAUUGUGUUUGAGUAUGGCAGAAGUUUUCAAGAACUCUAAGUCCAUUCAUAGAAUCAUAGAAUGGUUUGAGUUAGUUGGGACCUUAAAGGUCAUCUGGUUCCAAGCCCCCUGCCAUGGACAGGAACAUUUUCCUCUAGACCAGGUUGUUCAAAGCCCCAUCCAACCUAGCCUUGAGCACUUCCAGGGAUGGGGCAGCAAUAACUUUUCACCACCCUCACAGGGAAGAACUUCUUAAUACCUCAUCUAAAUCUCCCAUCUUUCACACUGAGGCCACUCCUUGUCCUAUCACUACACGCCCUUGUAAAAAGUGCUUCUCUAGCUUUUUAUUCACUUUCAACAAUUCACUAUUGUUUUAGAUUGCUGUUUAAAAUAUGUGCCAAAUCUGCCUUUGAUUUAAUUCUUGUCUUCACUGAACCAAAUGCAAAGGUAGAUGUGGGCAGCUGAGCAAACAGGGGAAACCAGAACUGCUGCAGCUAUGAGGCUAUAAUUUGCACAUUUGGGACCAUGAAGAGAUGUAUAUAUGUGUUUAAAAUCACAAACAGUGAGUCAGAGAGAGACAGAUUUGAACUGUAGGAGCUCAUAAUGUACACCUCAGAAUCUCUUUUGUUAAAACUUCCUGGCAGAGUGACUUUGAAGUUGUGUGUAUGCUUUAACCUGAAUCUGCAAACUCUGUUCUCAGCUGCAGUAGUGUCAGUGCUUCCAGUGGGGAACUCUGCCUCUCAGGAGCUCCCACUGAGCAGCAGGAUUGCUUACUGCCAGGCAGGUUAUCCCAGGGAUGUCUUCUGCCAUCUACACAGAGUACUCCUUCAGAAAAAAAAAGUUGUGAUACGUCAGCAAGCAACAGGCUCAUUUUGCUAAGAGAUCCUUUCACUUCUCAUCAUGCUAUCUGUCAUAUGCAGGAGGCAUAUUUCACUGCCAAACUGCUUCAGACUGAGGCUGCUUGACUCCUUUACAAGUGUGUGUUUUGAGUUGGAGCUAUGCUUCUAACAGAAGAAUGAACUGUGGCUCUCCACAUUUUGAUAACAGCCACUUUAUCAUCUUUUCCUGGCAGUGAAUGUUUCUUGCUAUGCGUAUGGUUUUCUAUCUGUACUGUUGGAAAGCUACACGCUCAGCUGUAUUUAUUUGAUAACAUUUUGUCUUCAGCCUACGGGUUAGAGCCAAGAGUCUGCAGGUAGAUUGCAUUAAGAAGUCAAAAAAAAAAAAAAAACCCCAACCAGAAAACCACCACACCCUCCUCUUUUAAUUAUAGCUGAUGCCCUGAAAAUAAGUUUCAUUUACAUGUUUUUAUGUUUAGUAUAUAAAUAUAUUUCUUCUGAAGUGGAAAAAUUUGGGGGGAAAAAAAAGCUUUUCUUUUUCUUCUUGUGUAGCUUAAAGAAAAUAUU